UACGUAGGGGCCUAGCGUUGUCCGGAUUUAUUGGGCGUAAAGGGCGCGUAGGCGGUCAGCACAAGUCAAUUGUGAAAUCUCCGAGCUUAACUCGGAAAGGUCAACUGAAACUGUGCGACUAGAGUGCGGAAGGGGCAACUGGAAUUCUUGGUGUAGCGGUGAAAUGCGUAGAUAUCAAGAGGAACACCUGCGGCGAAGGCGGGUUGCUGGGCCGACACUGACGCUGAAGCGCGAAAGCCAGGGGAGCGAACGGG
rnacentral:rRNA from 1 species